AUACAGAGGGUGCAAGCGUUAAUCGGAUUUACUGGGCGUAAAGCGCGCGUAGGUGGCUAAUUAAGUCAAAUGUGAAAUCCCCGAGCUUAACUUGGGAAUUGCAUUCGAUACUGGUUAGCUAGAGUAUGGGAGAGGAUGGUAGAAUUCCAGGUGUAGCGGUGAAAUGCGUAGAGAUCUGGAGGAAUACCGAUGGCGAAGGCAGCCAUCGGGCCUAAUACUGACACUGAGGUGCGAAAGCAUGGGUAGCAAACAGGAUUAGAUACCCUGGGAGUCCAUGCCGUAAACGAUGUCUACUAGCCGUUGGGGCCCUUGAGGCUUUAGUGGCGCAGCUAACGCGAUAAGUAGACCGCCUGGGGAGUACGGUCGCAAGACUAAAACUCAAAUGAAUUGACGGGG
rnacentral:rRNA from 1 species